rnacentral:rRNA from 1 species
AUUGAACGCUGGCGGCAGGCCUAACACAUGCAAGUCGAACGGUAACAGGAAGCAGCUUGCUGCUUCGCUGACGAGUGGCGGACGGGUGAGUAAUGUCUGGGAAACUGCCUGAUGGAGGGGGAUAACUACUGGAAACGGUAGCUAAUACCGCAUAACGUCGCAAGACCAAAGAGGGGGACCUUAGGGCCUCUUGCCAUCGGAUGUGCCCAGAUGGGAUUAGCUAGUAGGUGGGGUAACGGCUCACCUAGGCGACGAUCCCUAGCUGGUCUGAGAGGAUGACCAGCCACACUGGAACUGAGACACGGUCCAGACUCCUACGGGAGGCAGCAGUGGGGAAUAUUGCACAAUGGGCGCAAGCCUGAUGCAGCCAUGCCGCGUGUAUGAAGAAGGCCUUCGGGUUGUAAAGUACUUUCAGCGGGGAGGAAGGGAGUAAAGUUAAUACCUUUGCUCAUUGACGUUACCC